rnacentral:lncRNA from 1 species
GAAAAGCCAACCUUCCCAGAGGACUGAAGACUUCAGGGACUUCUGGCAGUCCCCAGCUGGAGUCUGGGAGCCCCUAGACAUGGCCAGACCUCACCUGCAGCAGCCUGCUCCCCAGGCAGGGAAGACAGCCUGGGUUGAGGUCCACUGGCCCCUGGAGCUGCUGCUAUCUCUGGCUGGAGAACUGACCAGCUGCCAGCCUGCAAGCCACCCAUCUGGUGUCACGAGAGUCCUCUGCUGACGU